rnacentral:lncRNA from 1 species
CUUGAACCCAAGGCUGGCACAAAAGCCAGAAGGUGUUACUCUCCACCAGCUCAGGGAUUGUGAAGAUCUCUGUGCAGACUCCACUCUGCGGUUGGACAGCAUCCCUGAGACAUGCAUUUUGGGGAGGAUCCAGUGUGAAACCCAUGGAAUUGUGAUCAACCAGAAUCCAGAACACGCUGUGCUUAAUGGAGUGAACUGCCUGUGAAGCGCAGGUGUGAGGGGCGGAUGAUAAGUGACAGUGCCGGUGCCCCCAGCGCCCUUUUACCUGAUGGCUCACCCGGCCUACAGCUGCGCCCUUCCCUUUGAAUCGUCUUGGGUAACGGGUGCUGCUUUGGAAAUGCCUGGAAGGUCAUGUCCUUUGUCUGGGGAUGGCUUCCAGCUGUGGUUGACUGAUAGCAGGGGGCACAGAAGGCCAGACACAACUUGCCUCAGGUGGGCCGACUCUGAGGGUUUGUUCGGCCUCCACGUGGACUUCAGCUGAGCCUGCAUCUUUGCUUGGCUUUUCCCACUGGCCUAUUCUGCUUCCCUCUCCUUAAGGGUUCUCCCAGGAGAACUCCCUUAAUAAAUCACUUGCACAAGGAUCGGGACCCCUCACUCAGUGCAGAGGGAAAUUGACACAGCCAUGAUGAGGCCUGGCUCACAAGAGCCAUAGUUACUGUAGGAGUUUCUGUGGCUAAAUAUGCUUAGCUAUUGGGGCAAGGACAUGUGCUGGAUGUGUAUGCAGUCUUUGAAGCUGGAGAGGCCUGUGUUGGAAACUGUGCUCUGUCCCAUGCCAGUUCCCUGACCUUGGGUUCGGAAGUCCCAUUUAACAACUGCUCCCAGUACAGCAUGAGAAGUGACCCAGAGCACAGCGAUCGCACGCGCAGCGUGCUCUACAGAAGGUGCAUCCACAGAUGGCGGGCCAGCCGGCUCCCAAUAUAGUUUUUAACAUAAAUGAUGAAAAUAAAAACCCUGAAGAAACUUCCAUGUGGGACACGAGCCUUCAAUGCCUGAUAAAGCCUGAAAGCCACAAUCUGCCCUGGAAACCCAGCUCCACCCUGCUUCCACUACAUCAGGAGGUGGAGGAGGAAAUUGAAAGUGUGAAACACCAGUGGGAGGAAAAGGUUCCUGUAACAAAUGUGGUUAUCAAUGGGAAAGAAGCUUUCUAGAGCUUAUAUACGGGGCCGAGUCAUGCACACUUCAUCAUACUCACCAGGGGACGACCCAGACCAUCAUUCUUCUCUGGUCUGCCACCUUCAUCCUCCACUUGCAGCCUCCUUUGCAGUGACCAUACAGGUGCAGAGCAUGAGCAGGAUGCACAGGGGUUUAUGUGGUCAGGCCUGCCUGGAGUUGGCACAUAGCAUUUCUGCUUCCAUUCUUAGGUCUGAAAUCCAGGUCACAGAGCCCUAACAUAACUACAAAGGAUCCUGAAAAGUGUUGUAUUCCAGUGUGCCUCGGAAAAGAAAAUAGGAUUAAUAAACUUUGAUUAGACUAAAUACCCCUAGAGCAAUCAACAGACAGACAGAGCCCUGCUUCAUGGAGCGUCUGCUCUCUCCUGGAGCUCACACGCUGAAACAGACAGGAUGCAACACCUCAGGGUUGUUGGAGAACCAGGGGCUGUUGCAAUUAGGAUGGCGAAUGGUGAAAAACAGUGUGGUUGAAUUGAACAUAAGCUGAAGGGCUAGACAUCAUGGCUUCAAUCCUUGUGGAGGAUGACUUGUGAAUUGCCACCUCCUGCAAAUCCUGUGGCCUAUGAUCUGGACCAAAUCACAUCCAAGUGUCUGAUCAGUUCUGAGAGUGGUUGUGGAUGACACACUCUUAUUUCAUCCGGCCUGGGGAGGAGGGGAAAGAGGAAGUCACCUGUGAAAUUGUCUUUGCGCUUUGGACUCAAGCCCCCAGGUGCCUUUGGAUAAUUUCUGCUUGCUAAAGAGGCGGGGCCUUAGUCCUCAUCGGCCGAUGGUUUGGAGACUGAAUCAACUAUCUGAGCCUUCAUCUACCACAUAAGAAUUGCAGCAAACCCUGCAGCUAUCCUGAAGCUGCCAUGCUGAAAAGGCCAAUUGGGAGACCACAUAGAGACCGAGAGAGACUUCCAAGGACUCCAGCCAAUCCUGGGCCCCAGCAGUUUGAAUCUCCCAGCAAUGCCACCAUACAGGAGAGGGAGCAAAUACUCAGAAGAUUCAAGUGCCAGCUGCAUGGGUUGAUACCUACAUAAAAGGCAUUGGGAUUAUUCACAAGAGCCAAGAUAUGGAAAUAACCUGUGUCCAUUGACAGACGAAUAGAUGAGGGAAACGUGGCAUAUACACACAGUGGAAUAUUAUUCGGAAUUAAAAAAAGAAGGAAAUCCUGAAUCCUGCUAUUUCUGACAACAUGAGACUGCAGGACGUUAUGGUAUGUGCUCUUGGGUGAUUCCCCUAAUCAUAGUGGAAAGAUGGGAGCUGAGACUCUAAGACUGUAAGUAACUUGGCCAAGACUUAUGGCUUGAUACGGAUCUUCUAACUCAAAAUCGUGUGUUCUUCUCACUACCCAAUUAUUGCUUCACACUUCAUCAUUUUGCAGAUGACUGUGUGUUGAUGAGAGGCUGCCAUAAUUUGAAGUCAUUAGAACAAUGAAAUAGUAUCUGCACAUAUGCACAGUCCUCGGAUGCGAUGGGCAUUCCCUCAAGCUGCAGUCCAGCAGGAAAUUUUCAGUGCUAGAAGAGUUAAACUAUAAGCUGACUUGAGAUGUAGUAGUUCAAAACCCUUGCCAAUAACUCUUUAUUAUGUGCAGCAUUUUCAAAGCAAAAUUACAACAUGUUAGAAAGUGAAUGAGGCAAAUUACUGGUGAUGUCAUCAAAGUAAUAACUGCUAAUGACCCUUUUACUCCUGGGCAUUGCCUGAGGCCACACUGACAGGAAGAGCAGAUCUGCUUUCUGUGAAUCCAUUUGGAUUAUCUAGAAGGCAUCCUGAAAGUUAUGAAAACAUAAUGUGAGAAAAUGAUAGAUCAAAGUGUGAAUACAAUGCAGGGACAACAGAAAGGAAAAUGUACUCUCUGUUGUGUAAUGGGUAUUUUGGCCAGAGUUUGAAGAGCUUUAUUAAGGAGUGACAACAAACAUAUAUUUAAAUGAUGACAUUUCCUCCAAAAUAAAAUAAACAAAUAAAUAUGUAGAAUUUAAAACUUUUUUGUUUCCAUGAAAGAGUUUGGAAUACCCUUCCAAACUCUCCUCAUUCAUUGAGACGAUGGAUCUCUUGUUAUUAACCGAGACACUGAAUUUUGAGGUGACAUCCUGUUCUGGAGGCAGAAACAUUGCCAGCACUUCUCCUUCAGCAGUUGAUUUAUUAUGUGACAGUCGGUGAUGAGCUUAUCCUCAUGAAGAUGCUCCCUCCCACGGACAGCCGUAUCAUACUUGAGGCCUCCCUGCCACUUACCCAGGCCACUGCAAUAGCCCCUUUGUUGUCAUCUGGUUAAGAACUAAGGUUCUUCCUUAACCAGUCCAUUCCCCUGACUUCCACAGAGAAACCAUUCUAUAAACUGCUCAUCUGUCAGCUGUUCACCAGCUCAAAAACCAUUCAGAAUCCCACACCUUCUCCCACUGUCCACAGAAUAUUGUCAGUACUCCUUCUAAGAGAAUUCAAAGCAACAUGACAUCAUCCUAUAUUUCUAGCCUUACCUAAUAAAUAUUCAUACCGACUACCUACUGCUUUCUAUACAGGGAAACAUUUCAAGGCCUCCGAGGUCUGCUUGGAAUUCUCCCAUCCACCAUCAUUUCUGCUGCCUAUUAAUAUUCCACCUAUAAUUUAUUCACCAAAUAUUCCUUGAAUGAGUGCCAGGUGUCAGAUACCUCAGUUCCAAGGUCCUUUCUUUUGUGAAGCUUUUCUUGGAAGCUCCCCUGUCUGAGCUCACACUCUAAUUGGGACAUUAUUUAAUUAUAGUCUGUAUUGAACA